AGGAAGUUUCACUUAUAACUAACUUGGAUAUGUCCCUCAAGAUUUCAAUAGGACAAGAUCAAUCAAGAGGCCUUAUUAUCAUCAUAGUAAAACAUCCAUGGAAUGCUCUACGAUGAUUAUCCUGGACCAAAAGAGUAUUUGUGGCAAGCAUGUUGCAUUAGAAUCUAAAAAUAUUAAAGUCAAGAAGGGAUGGUAUUUGCUGGGU
rnacentral:lncRNA from 1 species